rnacentral:sRNA from 2 species
CCGAAGGGUCGCUAGGGUUCCGAGGCCUACCAUGCGGCAGGCCUGUCUGGUCCGAGAGCGACCGGCCUCAAGUGCCCGCGGCAGCUGCCGCGACGGCACUCAGGCUCCACGGCGGGACAAAAGCCCGGGAGGA